UACGGAAGGCAGCAGUGGGGAAUAUUGCACAAUGGGCGAAAGCCUGAUGCAGCUAUGCCGCGUGUAUGAAGAAGGCCUUAGGGUUGUAAAGUACUUUCAUCGGGGAGGAAAAAACAAAACUAAUAAUUUUAUUUCUUGACGUUACCCGAAAAAGAAGCACCGGCUAACUCCGUGCCAGCAGCCGCGGUAAUACGGAGGGUGCUAGCGUUAAUCAGAAUUACUGGGCGUAAAGAGCACGUAGGUGGUUUUUUUAAGUCAGAUGUGAAAUCCCUGGGCUUAACCUGGAACUGCAUUUUGAAACUGAAAUACUAGAGUAUCGUAGAGGGAGGUAGAAUUCUAGGUGUAGCGGUGAAAUGCGUAGAUAUCUGGAGGAAUACCUGUGGCGAAAGCGGCCUCCUAAACGAAUACUGACACUGAGGUGCGAAAGCGUGGGGAGCAAACGAGGGAUUUAGAUACC
rnacentral:rRNA from 1 species